UGGGGAAUUUUGCACAAUGGGGGAAACCCUGAUGCAGCGACGCCGCGUGAUUUAGAAGGCCUUCGGGUUGUAAAAAUCUUUUCUAUGGGAAGAAAAUGACAGUACCAUAGGAAUAAGGACCGGCUAAUUACGUGCCAGCAGCCGCGGUAAUACGUAAGGUCCGAGCGUUGUCCGGAAUCAUUGGGCGUAAAGGGUACGUAGGCGGGUAAGCAAGUUAGAAGGGAAAUCCUAUAGCUCAACUAUAGUAAGCUUUUAAAACUGCUCAUCUUGAGGUAUGGAAGGGAGAGUGGAAUUCCUAGUGUAGCGGUGAAAUGCGCAGAUAUUAGGAGGAAUACCGGUGGCGAAGGCGACUUUCUGGCCAUAACCUGACGCUGAGGUACGAAAGCGUGGGUAGCAAACAGG
rnacentral:rRNA from 1 species